GCACAUAAAAGCCUGUCUUCUAAAGUGCUAGCAAUAAGAUAUUUCUUUUUUUUUUUUUGAAGGUGCCGAGGAUUGAAUCUGGGAUCUCAUAUAUGAGAGGCUGAUGCUCAACCACUAAGCUACACCAGCUCCCAAUGCGAUAUUUCUUAUUCUGGGUCCAUUUGAACUAAUCUGUAAAUCUGGAAAGGACAGACUUUGAUGUGAUUCAGAUAAAUAUCUUGUGGAAUCUCUUUAGUUCCUUCUCCUUGAAUACCACUAAACACAUUAAGAAGAAAUGUCAUCAUGAUGACAAGAAAGACAGUAAGUAUAAUCAUAAAUUAGAUCUUUGGUGACAUCUGGCUAUU
rnacentral:lncRNA from 1 species